CCUAAAUGCCUUCUAAAUUUCCUUCCAAGAGCAAUCUAGAUUAAGGCAAAAUUAUGUUUAUUAGAGAGUUUAAAAGGAGCUGUUCCCAGGGCUUGGAGAAAGGAAAUUCAGCUUUCUCCCUUCUUUGAAUGAAGCUCUCCUGCUCAAAUUUCAUCUCUGUAUAAUUUUCAGAUGUCUUCACGCACUCAUGGUAUGACACUCUUUCUCUCUGUCAUUCUCUUUCAGUUUGUACUGUGAAUCCAUGCAGAAUCCUACAAAUCCUGUGAAACUAAGUUUAAUGCCAAGAACUCUCCAGGAGUGAAAAUCUGUCAAUAUUCCAAUAGAAAAGAUGGAGCGGCAGUCGUGUGAUAAAGAUCUUCUAUGCAUUUUUUUCUGUUUUGCUACACCGUUUGAAAUGUCUUGUUCAGAUUACAUCAUUCAGUGCUUUUCUUCUUUAAUCUUGAAUUUGAAUGUACCUUGCCAUGCCUUAGAACUAUCAGCAGCAUGCAAUGAUUGUACAGUUUGAUAAGAACUCUUGCUGCUUCGAAGUCUCCUGUGCUUUGCUUUAAAAAUUGAACACCCAACUCAAUGUUUCCACUAAGGAAUAUCCUUCUGGAAUAAGUAAAGCAGGACUCUUUGGAAACAGUUGGAUAACAUUAAUCUCAACAAUUAAUGGGCUAUAAACUGAUGUAGAAUUGCUUCCUGGAAAUCCUAGAAUUUACAGACAUAAGUGAAUUUGUUUGCUGAGAAUAUUACUGAUAGUAUUGCAAUGAAUGUUUCUGGGGAAAAUCACAGAAGACUAUAUUUUGAGAUUAAAAAAAAACUGAAAAAAUACUGCUGUAUGUAACAUUAAAAAAAAAUAAUGGUACAUCAGUAUGUUCUCCUUUGAAAGAUAUUACUCUUAGUAAUUCAUUUAAAUAGAAAAUAAUCUCUUGUUGGCUUAUUGUUUCUAAUAAUGAAGUGCUCAUGUUUACGUUCUGUAUAAUAGGGGCAGCAGCUUGACAGAGUGACACCACUUUUUCAUAUAUUUCAAUUGAGAGAUUGUUUAUAUGGAUGUAAAUAAAGAAUGUUUAGGAUUUAAAUCA
rnacentral:lncRNA from 1 species